AGGCUUGAUUUAGCUUGCGGAGCUUACUGGGUUUGAGUUGCUAUGCAUGUGGAAGUGGUGUGAAUUAAGUUUAUAUACAUGCUUUGGAAUUGAAAAGUGAACAUUUGGAGGCUUGGUGGUGAUUGAGGCUAAGCUUGUGGCUGGUUACACUAUGCUUGAGGGGCUGUGCUGUAGCUUGUGAGGCUGCCUUGGAUUAAAUAAAGUGAUUGGCCAAGAUGCGCAGCGGAAGGCUCCUCGGUAGGCAUCUGAAUUUCUGAAGCGAAGUGGUUUUUGGGUUUAUUUUGCUAUUUAGUUUAUGUAUAUGUGUACUUAACGUUCUCUUCGAAUAACUUGUUUAUUUUGUUCCUCUUAGAGGUUUGAGGAGAGUUUUCAUUUAUGUAUUUUGGGUUUUUGGGAUAUGUAUAUAUGUAUAUAAAUAUUCUCCGGCCAGCCUUAGCUUCACAGGCUGAGUUAGGAGCUUGUUAUUUUGUAUUAUUAACCCUCUACUUGUGUCAUCUGUUUAUAUUUACUUUUGAGCUUUAGUUUUCUUCUCACGCAAAUAACAACAUUUCCUGA